CUUCACGGAGUGGCAUUCUUUGUUUGAGGAGUAUAAAGCACCACCUUUUUCUCUUCCACUCCUGCAGCCUGCAUAUAGCUUUGGGAUUGCCACGUUGGUUUCUUUACCCCUGAUGAGGCACCUGAGUUCCAUCCCAACCACACCACUCUCUCCUGGGUGUCUCUGUCCUACCCAAACCUGGAGCUCCACCAGAGGCCCCUGUACUCCAUACGACCCGAAGAGGUGCUGUAUUUUCCAUAUCGUUGGUGACACCAGCGUCUUCAUUUUAACAUUUCUGGGGUGAAGACUGAUAUGGUGGACACACACCAUGUGCAUUUGACUUGAAGGACCGGACAAGGAUUCGGUGUUCAGAGGAGUUUGACUCAGUUUGAGCAAAACAGAAAGCCAAGCCAUUCAUCCAUUAACUUGAGCAAUGUUUUUUUUUUUAAUAGAAGCUGCUUUUUAUUGUGAGAUUGAGAUAAUUUAACAAA